UUAACCGCUGAUUAGAGAACCAGCUUUACUGACGAGAUGCACAUAACGAUCGGCCGAUCGUGAUCGGAGCAGCUCUAAUUUUAUUCGUUCAAGAUUAAGUUGAGGUAAAAGUGUUGUUUUAGGUAAAUGUUUCGAAAACUACACUAAUAUUUAUCUGAUAUAUCCUGCACGCACAGGUCUUUCAACGUAAGUAACGUACGUUAGGGGAUUCAACGACGGCAAAUGAAUUAUUAUGCAUCAAUCCGUAGUCUUGGCAGGUGUAAAGCACUUGAUACCAAAGUGCACAUCUUGUUGCAUAUUGUAUCAUUGCCCCUUGUGCCCUACACUGAAGCCAAUGAUUAAAAAGAGAGUCCAGGCUCACUGGGAAGUCCAUUUAAAAAAUGCGAUCAUAUUCCAAGAUAAAAGAUUAUGCAGAUGCCAUUUGGCCUGCAGAACAGAGGCCCAUUUCCAUUGCCCUACUUGCAGUAAAACUGUUCUUAGGAGACUCAGUGCACGUCCUCACCUGUACCAGGAUCUGCAUCGGCUCUGUGUAAAUCCACACCUGCACCGACUCCGUUUUUCAUUUAAAGUCUGCAUUGUACAUAGUGCUGGAUGCCCCAUUUGACUACACAAUUCUGGACAUGGCAGAGCUGAGGAAAUGGUGGUGCGUCAUGUUAAUGGAGAACUUCAGACUGGAACAACAUGGAAAAUUGUUUGCCCACUAUGCUGAGGAGUCCAAAGCCUUCCUUAGAGGUGAGCAGCAGCCUGUAUUUCGGUUGCGAAAAAGGAGGUUUGAAGAAAUCUCUCCGGUAAAAGCUAAUACUUGGGAAUCAUCAUAAGGUUAAAAUGGCAUGUUAUCAUGACAAACCAGGUAAACCUGUGCUGUAUUUUUACCAAUAACAGGAAGAGCCUUUCCACGUACAGGUAACAUGUUAUCUUUUAGCAGCCCCUCAGGAAAAUUACCAGUUACCUUAAAAAGGUAGUUCUAAAGGUAAUGGCUCAAACUCAGAAUUUGUGUU